rnacentral:tRNA from 1 species
UGGGGAGUGGCAUAGCAGUAGAGCACAUGCCUUCUAUUCAUGAGGCCUUGGGUUCAAUCCCUCACACCACAU